GAUGAAGAACGCAGCGAAAUGCGAUAAGUAAUGUGAAUUGCAGAAUUCAGUGAAUCAUCGAAUCUUUGAACGCAUCUUGCGCUCCUUGGUAUUCCUUGGAGCAUGCCUGUUUGAGUAUCAUGAGCAAACCUCAAAGUCAAUUCCUUUUGUUAAUUCAAUUGGUUUUGCUUUGGACUUGGAGGUCUUGCAGAUUUCACAGUCUGCUCCUCUUAAAUGCAUUAGCUGGAUCUCAGUAAUUAUGCUUGGUUCCACUCGGCGUGAUAAGUAUCACUCGCUGAGGACACUGUUAAAAAGGUGGCCAGGAAAAUACUGAUUGAACCGCUUCUAACGGUCUAUUAAGUUAGACAAUUACCCUUAAGUUUGAUCCCAAAUCAGGUAGGACUACCCGCUGAACUUAAGCAUAUCAAUAAGCGGAGGA
rnacentral:misc_RNA from 1 species